ACUCCUACGGGAGGCAGCAGUGGGGAAUUUUGGACAAUGGGCGCAAGCCUGAUCCAGCCAUGCCGCGUGCAGGAUGAAGGCCUUCGGGUUGUAAACUGCUUUUGUACGGAACGAAAAGGUUCUUUCUAAUAAAGAGAGCUCAUGACGGUACCUGAAGAAUAAGCACCGGCUAACUACGUGCCAGCAGCCGCGGUAAU
rnacentral:rRNA from 1 species